rnacentral:rRNA from 1 species
UAGAAACAAGGAAACCGGCAUCAGGCACAACACCUCGCCCAAGACACCUAGCCUCGCCACACCCACAAGGGCUUACAGCAGUAAUUAACAUUGAAUAUUAGCGUAAGCUUGAUUCAGUCAGAGUAAUUAUGGGCCGGCAAAUUCUGUGCCAGCCGCCGCGGUCAAACCGCUACAGACCCAAAUUGAUGACAGUCGGCGUAAAGCGUGAUUAAAAUUUUUAUACGCUAGAAUUGAACUUAAACUAAAAAUGUAAAAACCUUGUUUUUUGGUACCCCAAAUACGAAAGUUAUUCUACCCCCCCCCUCUUUUUGAACUCACGAUAGCUAGGGCACAAACUGGGAUUUGAUACCCCACUAUGCCUAGCCAUAAACUUUAAUUUACAUCAUAAUCGCCAGGGAAUUACUAGUUAAUCUUAAAACCCAAAGGACUUGACGGUAUUCCAAAUCCAUCUAGAGGAGCCUGUCUCAUAAUCGAUAACCCACGCUAAACCUCACCAUUUCUAGCCUCCCAGCCUGUAUACUUCCGUCGCAAGCCUGCCACAUGAGUGAAAAUUAGCAGACUAAAUAUUUAUCAACAAUACGUCAGGUCAAGGUGCAGCAAAUGAACUGGAGAAGAUGGGCUACACUUUCUAAUCUAGAAAAAACGAAAGACUUUGUGAAACCAAGUCAGAAGGCGGAUUUAGCAGUAAAAAGAAAAUAGAAUACUCUUUUUAACACGGCACUGGAGUGUGUACACACCGCCCGUCACCCUCUUCGAAUCCUUCAAUAAUAGUACAUAACACAUGAUGAUAUAAAGAUGAGGCAAGUCGU